GAUGAACGCUGGCGGCGUGCCUAAUACAUGCAAGUCGAGCGAACAGACGAGGAGCUUGCUCCCCUGACGUUAGCGGCGGGCGGGUGAGUAACACGUGGAUAACCUACCUAUAAGACUGGGAUAACUUCGGGAAACCGGAGCUAAUACCGGAUAAUAUAUUGAACCGCAUGGUUCAAUAGUGAAAGACGGUUUUGCUGUCACUUAUAGAUGGAUCCGCGCCGCAUUAGCUAGUUGGUAAGGUAACGGCUUACCAAGGCAACGAUGCGUAGCCGACCUGCGAGGGUGGUCGCCCACACUGGACGGGAACACGGGUCAGGACCCCUGCGGGAGGAGGAAGUGGGAAAUCUUCCGAAAGGGGGGAAAGCCGGCCGGAGCAGCGCCGGGUGAGGAAUAAAGGUCUUGGGAUCGUAAAACUUUUUUAUGGGGGAAAAAAAAUUGUAUAAGUAACUAUGCACGUCUGGACGGUACCUAAUCAGAAAGCCACGGCUAACUAGGUG
rnacentral:rRNA from 1 species